rnacentral:rRNA from 1 species
UCGGGUUGUAAAGCACUUUUGUCCGGAAAGAAAACUUCGGGGCUAAUACCUCUGGAGGAUGACGGUACCGGAAGAAUAAGCACCGGCUAACUACGUGCCAGCAGCGCGGUAAUCGUAGGGUGCGAGCGUUAAUCGGAAUUACUGGGCGUAAAGCGUGCGCAGGCGGUCUGUUAAGACAGAUGUGAAAUCCCCGGGCUUAACCUAGGAACUGCAUUUGUGACUGGCAGGCUAGAGUAUGGCAGAGGGGGGUAGAAUUCCACGUGUAGCAGUGAAAUGCGUAGAGAUGUGGAGGAAUACCGAUGGCGAAGGCAGCCCCCUGGGCCAAUACUGACGCUCAUGCACGAAAGCGUGGGGAGCAAACAGGAUUAGAUACCCUGGUAGUCCACGCCCUAAACGAUGUCAACUAGUUGUUGGGGAUUCAUUUCCUUAGUAACGUAGCUAACGCGUGAAGUUGACCGCCUGGGGAGUACGGUCGCAAGAUUAAAACUCAAAGGAAUUGACGGGGACCCGCACAAGCGGUGGAUGAUGGUGGAUUAAUUCGAUGCAACGCGAAAAACCUUACCUACCCUUGACAUGGUCGGAACCCUGGUG